GUAACGACUCUCGGCAACGGAUAUCUCGGCUCUCGCAUCGAUGAAGAACGUAGCGAAAUGCGAUACUUGGUGUGAAUUGCAGAAUCCCGUGAACCAUCGAGUCUUUGAACGCAAGUUGCGCCUGAAGCCAUCGGGCUGAGGGCACGUCUGCCUGGGCGUCACGC
rnacentral:rRNA from 1 species